AUUGAACGCUGGCGGCAGGCUUAACACAUGCAAGUCGAACGAGUGGCGGACGGGUGAGUAAUGCUUGGGAAUCUAGCUUAUGGAGGGGGAUAACUACGGGAAACUGUAGCUAAUACCGCGUACCAUAGGAUGAGCCCAAGUGGGAUUAGCUAGUGGGUGGGGUAAAGGCUCACCUGGGCGACGAUCUCUCGCUGGUCUGAGAGGAUGAUCAGCCAAACUGGGACUAAGAGACGGCCCAGACUCAUAAGGGAGGCAGCAGUGGGGAAUAUGGCACAAUGGGCGCAAGCGUGAUGCAGCCAUGCCGCGUGUAUGAAGAAGGCCUUAGGGUUGGAAAGUACUUUAAGCGGGGAGGCGUUACCCGCAGAAGAAGCACCGGCUAACUCCGUGCCAGCAGCCGCGGUAAUAC
rnacentral:rRNA from 1 species